UACGUAGGUGGCAAGCGUUGUCCGGAUUUACUGGGCGUAAAGGGCGUGCAGGCGGUCUGUUAAGUCUAGGGUGAAAGCUCCCGGCUCAACUGGGAGAGGUCCUUGGAUACUGGCGGACUUGAGGGAGGCAGAGGAGUAUGGAAUUCCCGGUGUAGUGGUGAUAUGCGUAGAUAUCGGGAGGAACACCAGUGGCGAAGGCGGUACUCUGGGCCUUACCUGACGCUGAGACGCGAAAGCGUGGGGAGCAAACAGG
rnacentral:rRNA from 1 species